AAUAUAGUCCCAAACAUAUACAGUUCAGUUCUUUUACUGCUUUCUUCUUCAUAAAAGCCGGACGUCUUGCAACCCUUGAAUUUCCCCUUCUUUUUGUUUGCAUAAAUUACAUAAUUCUCUUAAUUAUAAAUACUCCAAAUCCGAUUUUCGAACAGCGUAUUUUAAAAUCUAAAGAAAUAUAAGCGAUUAAAGAUUACAUUUUGCAAGCCAACUGGAUGCUUAAACAACUCAAAAGACAGCCACGCGCUCAUUAUAGCUCUCUUAUAGUUUUAGAAUCUGAGUGAGUUACUGUUUUGAAUAUCUAAAAUCUUCAAAUUAAGUUUUUAUGAUUUUAAGUUAAAUUAGACUUAAGAAUAUGUGUAAGAAUUGAGAAUAAAUAUUUACUUUUUAUUUUAGAAAUGAACACACAAGAAAAUUUAAACGACGAUGAUGGUGACUUUUUUAGAAAAAAAUUAGAAGAUUUACAAAAGUCCAUAGGUGAGUAAAAUUGCUUUUAUGUUUAUUAUACACCCUA